rnacentral:lncRNA from 1 species
UGGCAGUACAACAGGCAUGAUUUAUACAUUUCUAGAAAUAAUUGUGUUUUAAUUAUUGCGUCUGUUUUAUAUAAUACAAGGGCAACUAUGUGACACCUGUUAAAAAAGCCACAGACUUAAGAAGCUGGAAGCAGCACACCUAAACAUGAAGCAGGGCUGUUAUGGAGUCAAAUUGGGGUCUUUAAUGCUGACGAGAAAAUAAAACUAUCGUGAAAAAAAAUCUCCACGAAUUGCAAAAAAAAUCUAAUAUUGCAAACAAAGAAGAGAACAUAAAUUAUUUUUUUUCACUUGUGAUAUUAUUUUUAUAAUGAAUCUUUUGCAACACCAUUUUUUCUUUGUUGCGUUUUGCGCUUUGCGUCCCUCUUUUAUUUUUGCAAUACGUUCCCUCCGUUGCGUUCCUCGGUUUUGUUUGCGAGUCUUUUUUGACCCCUUUUUGACGUGUGGGGUGUGGAGAGAGGAAAGGGGGCGUGGCCACGGUGAAAAGGCUGGUUAUUGAAGGUUCACGUCAUCAGCUGGAGCCUCUGCCGCGCAGCCCGCCAACUCGACCGGUCGUCAUGAUGGACGCUAACCAGGCCGAACAACAGCAGAAAGAGUGCCCUGAUGUGACUGCAGCAACUCGCACUCUAAUAAAUUUGCUGACUCAAAGCUUAAGUCAGGGACAGGGAGGUCAGGUACAGCAACAAAGACAGACACUACCCCCUCCUUCUCUUCCUGCUCCUCAACCAUGCAUAGCACAGGAAAUGGCCAGGUUAUGUCCAUAUCCACCUUUACUGAUUUAAUUGUAUGCUUAUACUCACAAUCUGUUAACUGGUUGUGUCACUAACAUUUUGUUUGUUGUUUGCAGGUCAUUUCCUGGUUUUUUUAAGGGAGCACCACAAAAAAGAAAAUUUGGAAGACCCAUAUUACAGCCUAAAACACCCCAAAAAAAACUGGAAACCUUUUCUUAUUAAUGUGUUUCUCCUUAACAAAAACACAGACAGUUCACCAUCACCUUCUGAGGAACUGGAAUUACUCCAGGCUGGAUUGGGCAAGCGCACUAUUUCUGUUGCUGCAGACCUGACACAUUCUGAAGUUAGUAUGUGUUUCUUUCACCAUCUUUCAUUAAAGCUUAACUCUAAACUGUCCUAGCUGACUUUAGGAAACUUUAAUUGAAUUUAAAUGUCAAGUUUCCAGUUCUCUAUAUACAUGGAUUAUGAGUUCCCUGUAACUGUCUGUUCUUGUUUUUACUUUCUGUAGUUAUGUGGGUUUCUGGAGGCAGAAUUUCCAAAAAUGAAGGCACUCACUGGAGGAUGGCUGCUGUAUAAGGCUCCAGGUGCAUAGUCAUAUUUAUUCUAGGCUUACCUGUGUAGUCUUGCGUGUCAUGUUAA